CAAAUACUUUUCUUUGUAGGAGUUAUCUCCCCGUACACUAUUUUCCUUGUGACUACAUCUCUUCCGUAACUGUGAAAGAAAGCGACAAAUUUAUUUCAUAAAAUUGCUCGUUAUAUCCUUUGCAUGAUUUGUCCUAUUUUGACCGAAGCGAUAUGAACACUCCAUAUGAGAGUUAUUUCCCCUUAUGCAUUUGAUAUAAGGGAUAUGCAUUUCUAUCUUAUAAACCAUAAGCGAUAGAGACCUAGGGUCUUUUGAUUUAAGGU
rnacentral:lncRNA from 1 species